rnacentral:rRNA from 1 species
CAGUCGCCGCGGGAAUACGGAGGGGGCUAGCGUUGUUCGGAAUUACUGGGCGUAAAGCGCACGUAGGCGGCUUGGUAAGUUAGAGGUGAAAGCCUGGAGCUCAACUCCAGAAUUGCCUUUAAGACUGCCGAGCUAGCAGGUGAGAGAGGUAAGUGGAAUUCCGAGUGUAGAGGUGAAAUUCGUAGAUAUUCGGAAGAACACCAGUGGCGAAGGCGGCUUACUGGCUCAUACUGGACGCUGAGGUGCGAAAGCGUGGGGAGCAAACAGGAUUAGAUACCCCGGUAGUCCCUGUCUCUUAUAC